UGGGGAAUAUUGGACAAUGGGCGAAAGCCUGAUCCAGCCAUGCCGCGUGUGUGAAGAAGGUCUUCGGAUUGUAAAGCACUUUAAGUUGGGAGGAAGGGCAGUAAGCGAAUACCUUGCUGUUUUGACGUUACCGACAGAAUAAGCAUCGGCUAACUCUGUGCCAGCAGCCGCGGUAAUACAGAGGGUGCGAGCGUUAAUCGGAUUUACUGGGCGUAAAGCGUGCGUAGGCGGCUAAUUGAGUCGGAUGUGAAAUCCCCGAGCUUAACUUGGGAAUUGCAUUCGAUACUGGUUAGCUAGAGUGUGGGAGAGGAUGGUAGAAUUCCAGGUGUAGCGGUGAAAUGCGUAGAGAUCUGGAGGAAUACCGAUGGCGAAGGCAGCCAUCUGGCCUAACACUGACGCUGAGGUACGAAAGCAUGGGGAGCAAACAGG
rnacentral:rRNA from 1 species